GCCCCCUAGGGUUGAGUGGGUGGUUAGUUGAAUAGUAUAAUCGAACGGAUGAAAAUAAUAAAAGAGGUGAAUCUAACGGCAGAAAAUUUAAUAGCACCAAAUACUUCGUGCAAUCGAUAGUAUUCCAGCCGGACUAUAUAUAUAUAUAUAUAUAUAUGCUAGGGCAACUAUACUCUUAUGAGUAUAGAGCCCUUCAUACUUAUAAGUUGUUUCCAAUGAUGGAGCUUCCGAAUCAACGAUCCACUCCGUUAAAUAUGAUCUAGAGUAUUUGAAACUUCUAGAAAAUAAAUUUUGCAAUUUUUCGAAAUCUUAAAAAGUUCAUCAAAUGAGUAUAAAAUGAAUGGUCAAAAUCGAACGAUGUCUUAAAAAUGGAUGAUCGAAUCCUUCAAUUUAAGAUCGGAGUUAUUGAUCUUUAUCUAUGUAGUGAUUAGAAUUUUCUAUCAAAAAUUCAACUGAUUUCGAUUCUUUUACACCGUUAAACUAGUAAGUAUUUCAUAUCGGCCAUUAAAAAUUGUCAAUUUUGUGACCUUCUGAUCGUAAGGUAAAUGAUGUCGAAAAUUAUAAAAUUUGAUUUCUAGACGUUUUAAAUGCUCUAAAUAAUGUUUAACGAUAUGGAUCGUCGAUUCGAAAGCUCUAUCAUCAAAAACAACUUAUGAGUACGAGGGCGAUCGUACUCAUAAAAAUAUAGUAGCCGGACUAUAUAUAUAUAUAUAUAUAUAUAUAUAUNNNNNNNNNNNNNNNNNNNNNNNNNUUCCAAAUUGACGAUCGGCUCCGUUAAAUAUGAUCUAAACCAUUUAAACUAUCUAGAAAUCAGAUUUCACGCACUUUCAAUAUUGUUCUUUUAUCCAUCUAGUGAACAGAAACUGAAUGGCUGAAAAUAAAUAUUCUUUAAAAAAUGAUGAUAGGAGUCAUGUAAUCAAGAUCAAGAGUAUAGAUCUUAUUUUAAAUAGUUUAAAGAAUUUUCUAACAAAAAUUCAAUUGAUUUGGAUAUCUUUAUGCCGUUAAACGAGAAAACGUCUCUUAUCCACCAUUAAAAUUAUAAAUUUUGAAACCCUUUGAUCAUUAGGCAAAUGAUGUCGAAAAGAUUUGAAAUUUGAUUUCUAAAUACUUUAAGUGGUAUAGAUCAUGUUCAACGGAGCCGAUUGUCAAUUUGGAAGCUCUAUCAUCGAAAACAACUCGAUAGUAAAAUGCUCCGUUUACUAUCGAGAGUAUUCUAGCUCAACUCUAUAUAUAUAUAUAUAUAUAUAUAGUGCGUCUAAUAUACUUUCGAAAGUACGGGAACCUCCGUGCUUGUAAGUUAUUUUCGAUGAUAGGAUAUCCGAUUUGACGAUCGGCUCCGUUAGGUAUAAUCUAUCCUAUUGAAACUAUCUAGAAACCAAAUUUUAUAAUUUUUCGACAUCAUUUACUAAGCGAUCAAAAUGUCCCAAAAAUAACUAUUUUAAUGGCCGAUGCGCCACGUUUUUAAGUUCAACGGUGUAGAAGUAUCCAAAUUACAUGAAAAUUUAAUAGAAAAUUCUACUUAACGUCGUCAAUAGCAAGAUCAAUACUUCCAAUUUGAAAUUUGAGUCCUUUAUCAUUGUUUUUUUAUGAGAUUUUUAUUUUCAGCCGUUCAUUUUGAGGCUACUCAUUCACUAGACAAACAAAGUCAAAAGAUUAUGAAAAUUAGUUUCUAGAUAGUUCCAAUAGCGUAGAUCAUGUCUAACGAAACUGAUCGCCGAAUCGGAUGUCCCAUCAUCUAAAACAACUUACAAGCACGGAGGCUUCCGUACUUUCGAAAGCAUAGGAGCCUAGCUCUCUCUCUCUCUCUCUCUCUCUCUCUCUCUCUCUCUAUAUAAUUAAAUUUAUAUAUAUAUAUUAAUAUGUAGAUCUGGCUGGUAUACAAUUGAUAUUAGCACUAGGGAAUUUGUUUGUUUCAACGUAAGUAGACUUGGGUGAGAGUAGACUUGAGUUGAGUUAGAGUUGGUUGAAAUAGUUUCACUUGUCGGACUGUUUUUUUUAAUUGUGAAGUGCAGUUCUGCAGUUUGUUGUUUAUUUAGUAGGAGUAGUAUAUAACAAGUGCAGCUCUCCCCCGGUAUCGUUACCUCCAAAGCCGAUUCAUUGUAUUUUGUAACUUAUAUGAAUAAUAAUUAUAAUAAAUAAAAUUAAAUUAUUUUAUGUAUAUAAUUAAUUUAUAUGUUUAUAAAAAAAAUUUAAAAAUUAUAUUUAUUUGUUCUGUAUAUUAAAUUACUCUAAAUAUGCCACACGAAAAUUAAUUUCUAAAGUUAAAAAAUUAUUAACAUUUAACAAAUUCAUUUUUCAUCAUUUUCUAAAUAUAUAAAUUAAACAAAAAAUAUAUUAAAGCUUACCUAAUCAAAUUUGAUCAUAUUUUAGAAGAGAUAACCCUAACACAUUAAUCUAUUCUUGCAUUUUUUUCACUUCACCGGAAUUGACUUCGCCCCAUAGGAGGGCGAAGUCAAGUUCAUUAUUUUAGGUGAACUGGACUUUCGAGCGUAAUAAAAUUACGGUGAACCAAACAGCGGAAGUGGUCAGUUUUCACUGAAAAACACUUCCCCCGUCCCAUUUCCACCCCACUUCCCUCGAAACAAACAAGCCCUAAGCGUUUGGUGUUAUCAUGAUUUUCACCGAUAGAUUUAAUCCCUUGACUAUUUUCACCCAUUAGAUUAUAUUAUUAAACCAAUAACUUACUCAACCUUAGGGAGCCCACAUCAUCUUAACCGUACAUUUUUUCAUCUAACAGCCGAAAACUUAAUAGCACCAAUAACUUGGUGCUAUUAAGUUUUUUACCCUUGGAUUAAAAGAAGUGCGGUUAGGAAGAUGUGGGCCCUCUAGGGUUGAGUGGGUGGUUAGUUAAAUAGUAUAAUUGAACGGAUGAAAAUGAUAAAAGAGGUAAAUCUAACGGCAGAAAAUUUGAUAGCACCAAAUAUUUCGUGCUAUUAAUAGUAUCUCAGCCGGACUAUAUAUAUAUAUAUAUAUAUAUAGAGAGAGAGAGAGAGAGAGAGAGAGAGAGAGAGAGAGAGAGAGAGAGAGAGAGAGAGAGAGUGUGUGUGUGUGUGUGUGUGUUAGGCUCCUAUGCUUUUGAAAGUAUGGAAGCCCCCGUACUUGUAUGUUGUUUUCAAUAAUGGGACAUCUGAUUCAUCGAUCAGUUCCGUUAGAUAUGAUCUACGCUAUUGGAACUAGCUAGAAAACAAAUUUCAUAAUUUUUUUGACUCUAGUACAUAUUUUUUUCCUUCAAAAUGCUAUAUG
rnacentral:lncRNA from 1 species